AAGCCUGGACUAGUUUUACAAGGGAGUGGCGGGAUUGGAAUUAGGAAUGAUACAGCCAAGAGCAGGAUGCUGCUGGAUACUGGACGUCAUUUUUCAAUUGUUGCUGCUGACUAUUUAUCGGGCUCUGCCUCCGUUAUCACUGAGCCACCUUGGCUCAACUAUUUUAGAGAGUGGGGUCCCAAAAUUAGUUAUGACAUUUCCCACGAGAUAAAAGAGAUUGAGAAAUUAUUGCCUGGAAAGCUGAAGCCUGCUUUUCAAAAGUUUGUCAACAGUCUACCAAAUGAAGUCUUGGGAGAGGAAGGCCCGACAGGUCCCAAAGCCAAAAGCAAUUGGAAUGGAGAUGAAGUUUAAUCGAAGCUGUCUGUGUGUGUGUAUACAUACAUACAUACAUACAUACAUAUAUAUAUAUAUAUAUUUAUAUCAAAAUUUGUUUAUAAAGGAACUUUUUUUAAAGUGGGAUCAAUUGCCCACACUCCCUUGAAUGUAAAUCCGCCCUUAUAUAUAUUCAGUUAGAUUUCAGUUUGUACACAUAUUGUUCAAUAAUGAUUGAUAUAUGUAUAUAUGUGUUUAUGCAAGCAUGUCGCAGGUGAAGGGUUUGGGAGUGGAACAAUUGAUCUUGGUGGAUUACAAGUGCGUCAAAUAACAUCUUUCAAGAAAAUUUGGGCCACCCAUGAAGGUGGACCAGAUAAUGCUGGCACUACAUUUUUUGAACCAUCAACCAUAGAUAUCCCUCCAGGUUUCUUUAUGCUUGGCUGCUACGCCCAACCCAACAACACCCCUCUUUUCGGAUGGGUUCUUGCUGCUAAAGACAGCAGUGGUUUAAGCUUAAAGAAGCCUGUUGAUUACACUCUUGUUUGGAGCAGCGAGUCUUUGAAGAUCAAGCAAGAUGGGGUCGCCUACGUCUGGCUACCCACACCCCCCGAUGGGUACAAAAACGUUGGUCAUGCCAUUACAAACUUCCCUGAGAAGCCUGCCUUGGAUAAGAUGCGCUGCGUUCGGUCUGACUUCACUGAUCAAUGCCAGACAGACACGUGGAUAUGGGGUGCAAACAAGUAUGGGCUCAAUGUCUUUUCCGUUAGGCCCAGUGUUAGAGGAACCGAAGAAAUGGGUGUUAGUGUAGGCACGUUUGCGGCCCAGAUUAAUGGAAAUGAUAAUAGUCCUACUACGUCGACGACUCUCGCUUGUCUGAAGAAUAUUAUGGCCAAGUCCAACUUAUCAUCCUACAAUUACAUGCCUAAUCUGCAACAAAUUGAGACGAUGGUUCAAGCUUACUCUCCUUAUAUUUACUUGCAUCCUGACGAAAAAUACCUUCCGUCUUCUGUAAGCUGGUAUUUUGACAACGGGGCAUUACUAUACAGAAAGGGAGAGGAGUCUAAACCAAUCCCAAUUGAGCCGAUGGGUUCGAAUCUUCCACAAGGAGGCUCCAAUGAUGGUGCCUAUUGGUUGGACCUUCCUGUAAAUGACAAGGCCAAAGAGCGAGUCAAGAAAGGAGACCUACAAAACUCACAGGUUUAUUUACACAUUAAACCCAUGCUGGGAGCAACCUACACUGACAUAGCAAUAUGGAUCUUCUACCCUUUUAAUGGACCUGCGAGAGCUAAAGUUAAGUUUAUUAAUAAUAUCCCAUUGGGAAAGAUAGGUGAACAUGUUGGUGACUGGGAGCAUGUGACAUUAAGGAUCAGCAACUUCAAUGGGGAACUGUGGAGGGUCUUCUUGUCGCAGCAUAGUGGAGGUACUUGGGUGAAUGCAUCAGAGCUUGAGUUUCAAAGUGGCAACAAACCUGUGACCUAUGCGUCCUUAAAUGGUCAUGCCAUGUAUGCAAAGCCUGGACUAGUUUUACAAGGGAGUGGCGGGAUUGGAAUUAGGAAUGAUACAGCCAAGAGCAGGAUGCUGCUGGAUACUGGACGUCAUUUUUCAAUUGUUGCUGCUGACUAUUUAUCGGGCUCUGCCUCCGUUAUCACUGAGCCACCUUGGCUCAACUAUUUUAGAGAGUGGGGUCCCAAAAUUAGUUAUGACAUUUCCCACGAGAUAAAAGAGAUUGAGAAAUUAUUGCCUGGAAAGCUGAAGCCUGCUUUUCAAAAGUUUGUCAACAGUCUACCAAAUGAAGUCUUGGG
rnacentral:lncRNA from 1 species